GGAUGUGAGGGCAAUCUGGCUGUGACGUCUGUCAUCCCAUUGAUCGCCAGGGUUGAUUCGACUGAUCUCGUUGGCUAGGUGGGUGUUCCCUUCCUCCCUCACCGCUCCAUGUGCGUCCCUCCCGAAGCACUCAAGUCAAAGAGGACGGCCUUCCCCAAAUAGAGACUGACUGGUCUUCGGUGGAGGGUAUACGAGUAGCUGCACUCCCCUGCUAGAACCUCCAAAGAAUCAGUGCCCUACAAUAGAUAAUUAGCUUUAGGCCUUUAAGUGCCAUGAUCCAUUUCAUUGCUUGACACUUUCUCAAAUCAAAUCUUG
rnacentral:snRNA from 1 species